UACGUAGGGUGCAAGCGUUGUCCGGAAUUAUUGGGCGUAAAGAGCUUGUAGGCGGUUUGUCGCGUCUGCUGUGAAAAUCCGGGGCUCAACCCCGGACUUGCAGUGGGUACGGGCAGACUAGAGGUAGGUAGGGGAGAAUGGAAUUCCUGGUGUAGCGGUGAAAUGCGUAGAGAUCAGGAGGAACACCGGUGGCGAAGGCGGCCCACUGGGCCAGCACUGACGCUGAGGCGCGAAAGCUCGGGGAGCGAAUGGG
rnacentral:rRNA from 1 species